ACUCUCUUAUCUCUUCUCAGGGAGGUGGUUGUCUCACAGCUUGACAACUUGACAGGCAUUUUGCGGUUCGGGUGUUCCGCACAUAGUCCUCUUUUCUCAGGGGAGCAGGCACUGGAGUUACGUGUGUUAGAACGCCCGAUGAGCGUUUUCGUUUGCGAAGUGGGACUGAUCGCUUGAACCAGAGCAAAAGAGUCUGUUCUGUGGAUAACUGGAUGAACCGAACUCACCCUGAACUCCCCAAAGCAGGAUUUCAGGCCUCCCCGAGGGCAGAGCGGGCCUGGUGAUGCCACUGUGCAGAUCCCACCGUCCGGAUCCCACAGUGCAGGGGGCUCUGGCCGUCACCUGGGACCACGAAGCGCCCUAAGCUGACCUUUUCGUCCUCUCAUCACAUGGCCCCUCUCCUGCCCUUGAAGAGGAGUGAGGAGUAAAAACCUUGAAGGAUUGUCCUGAAUAAGUGCAUUCAUCAAGACAGCAAGCCAAGCCAUCAGGCAGAUGAAUAACAGCAAACUGCCAUCACAAGGAUGCUUGGAUAUGGAGGGAGUCAUGAAGAUGGGAAAUGAGAUGUACAAAAAAGAACUGUGAGAUGAGAGAAUGAAGUGUGCUUACCACCUUUUUCAACCCAGAGGAUGGAAGAGAAUUUGGAGGUUAACAGAAAAAAGGAAUGGGAAAAGGAGAUUGUUGGGCAAAGAAUACGCAUUAAAGACUUCUCAGGUGGUUCCCAUCAGUGGCAAUGGUGGUCUCAGCAGCAUGGAUUUGAGUACUCAAGCACAUGAGGCUACUGUGGAAGUGCUUUGCUUAAACCACAGAUGAGCUUCUGAGGAGCAAAGAUCCCCAGGGAAAGCUCCUUGGCCCCUGCUGUGUUGGGCCAGCUCUGGUAGGUCAACCGGCGCGGACCCCUUACGGUGUUGAUCCCUGCUAAUCGGCCUUCUGUAAAAAUGAUACUGCAAAUUCACCUGUAGCCGUCUAUUUUGUUCUCUUGCUGGUGAG